GAGAAAGUCAUAGUGGCUAUGGCAUUGGCUUGAAACCAAUUUCAGGGGGUUCGAAUCCUUCCUUUCUUA
rnacentral:tRNA from 1 species